GAUGAACGCUGGCGGCGUGCUUAACACAUGCAAGUCGAACGGAAAGGCCACAGCUUGCUGUGGUACUCGAGUGGCGAACGGGUGAGUAACACGUGGUUGAUCUGCCCUGUACUUCGGGAUAAGCUUGGGAAACUGGGUCUAAUACCGGAUAGGAAUCACAUGUGGGUGUGUGGUUGGAAAGCUUUUGCGGUAUGGGAUGAGCUCGCGGCCUAUCAGCUUGUUGGUGGGGUAAUGGCCUACCAAGGCGUCGACGGGUAGCCGGCCUGAGAGGGUGUACGGCCACAUUGGGACUGAGAUACGGCCCAGACUCCUACGGGAGGCAGCAGUGGGGAAUAUUGCACAAUGGGCGCAAGCCUGAUGCAGCGACGCCGCGUGGGGGAUGACGGCCUUCGGGUGGUAAACUCCUUUCGGCAGGGACGAAGCGAAAGUGACGGUACCUGGAUAAGAAGCACCGGCUAACUACGUG
rnacentral:rRNA from 1 species